rnacentral:rRNA from 1 species
CAGUAGCCACGGUAAUACGUAGGUCCCGAGCGUUGUCCGGAUUUAUUGGGCGUAAAGGGAGCGCAGGCGGUUUAGUAAGACUGAAGUUAAAGGCAUUGGCUCAACCAAUGUAUGCUUUGGAAACUGUUAGACUUGAGUGCAGAAGGGGAGAGUGGAAUUCCAUGUGUAGCGGUGAAAUGCGUAGAUAUAUGGAGGAACACCGGUGGCGAAAGCGGCUCUCUGGUCUGUCACUGACGCUGAGGCUCGAAAGCGUGGGUAGCGAACAGGAUUAGAGACCCCUGUAGUCCCUGUCUCUUAUACA